AUGGGCGGUAUUGGUAGCAUUCACAACCAAGCUCAAGAGAAGUACAAUUUAUUUGUGACACCUCAAACGUCAAUUUGUAAUACCAUGGUGAGGGUGUCUAAACAUGAUCUGCGUCCUUACAAGGCUAGGCUAACUUAUUCACUAAGAUGCUUGAGGUUUCUUUUGAACCAAGGAUUGGCAUUUCAUGGACAUGAUGAGAGUGAAGAAUCUAGCAAUAGGGGGAACUUUUUUGAACUUCUAAAAUGGCUUGCAGAAAAUGAUGAAGUUGAUAAGAUUGUUUUGCACAAUACUCCUGGAAACUGCAUCUUGACUAGUCCAACGAUACAAAAACAAAUUAUUGAAUGUUGUGUUGUGCUAACUACAAAACAAAUUAUUGAAGAUCUUGGUGAUGAGCACUAUGCGAUCCUAGCUGAUGAGUCUAGUGAUGCAUCUCAUAAAGAGCAACUUGUUAUUUGCAUACGUUAUGUUGAUAAAGUUGGAAAGGGGUGUGAGAGGUUUCUUGGAGUUGUUCAUGUUGCCAACACAACUUCCUUGUCACCUAAAGCUGCAAUUGAAUCUUUGCUUACCGAUCAUCAUUUGACUCUUACUCAAAUCUGUGGGCAAGGAUAUGACGGGGCUAGCAACAUGAAAGGAGAGAUUAAAGGGUUGAAAACAUUGAUCAUGGAAGAGUCGCACUCUGCUUAUUACAUUCAUUGCUUUGCACAUCAACUUCAAUUGGUUCUUAUUGCCGUGGCAAAGGGAAAUGAACCAUGUAAAUGGUUUUUUGAUCAUGUUUCUUACUUGCUGAAUAUUGUUGGAGUUUCUUGCAAGCGUCAUGACAUGCUUCGAGAUGUUAGAGCUCAAAAGGUUCUGGAAGCACUUGAAAUGGGUGAAAUUGAAAGUGGAAGUGGGUUAAAUCAAGAGAUGGGAUUAGCUAGACCCGGUGAUACUCGGUGGGGUUCUCAUUUUCGAACCAUUCUGCACAUUAUUACCAUGUACCCCACAAUACUAGAAGUACUUGAUACUAUUGGAAAAGAUCCUUCACAAAGUGGUGAGUGGACAAGAAUACGUGCAGUGGCUUUUGCCUUGGAGUCAUAUGACUUUGUUUUCAAUCUUCACGUGAUGCUUGUUAUUCUUGGCCACACUAAUGAGUUGUCUCAGUCAUUGCAAAAGAGAGAUCAAGAUAUUGUUAAUGCAAUGACACUUGUUAGUUUGGCAAAGAAUAAAAUGUGA
rnacentral:rRNA from 1 species